UACGGGGGGGGCAAGCGUUGUUCGGAAUUACUGGGCGUAAAGGGCGCGUAGGCGGCCAACUAAGUCAGACGUGAAAUCCCUCGGCUUAACCGGGGAACUGCGUCUGAUACUGGAUGGCUUGAGUUUGGGAGAGGGACGCGGAAUUCCAGGUGUAGCGGUGAAAUGCGUAGAUAUCUGGAGGAACACCGGUGGCGAAGGCGGCGUCCUGGACCAACACUGACACUGAUGAGCGAAAGCCAGGGGAGCAAACAGG
rnacentral:rRNA from 1 species